CCCAGCCCAGGCAGGAGGUGCACUGGCCUCCCGGCGGCCUUUUGAGGCCUAAGAGCUCCAAGCCCUGCCCUUCGUGCCCUCUGCACUAGACGCGUGGCCACAGCCGACAGUGGAUACCUCAUGGCGACUCAGAGUCCUCUCUUUAACCUCUCAGCUACCUUCUUCUCAUGACGUUUUCUCGGUAAAAUAAGUGGUGUGGCUCCCCUCUCCUGACCGGGCUGUGUCCCAGGACAGAGCCGGCUGGAAACGCCCCGCUUGACUGGAGAGCACUGCCCGGGCUGCUGCAGGUGCCCCUUUCACAGGAGCUGGAGCGCGCCUCAAUGCAGAGAUGGUGUGGCUGGGAGGGACUUCCCUUUCCCAGUCCUCCACUUACAUCACAGGGCACAAGAGCCAUUGGAAAAGCAUUUAGAGAAAUCAUAGCGAAAAUUUUCCAGAUGUGGCAAAAGACAUACAGCUGCAGAUUUAAAAAGUUAAGCAAACCUCAAGAAUCGUAAACCCAAAGAAGUUCAUGCCAAUCACAUCAUAAUUAAACAUCAAAAAAAAAAAAGGCAGAAUAAAUUUUGAAAGCAGCUGGAGAGAAAUCAAAUGUUGUUCAUGAGGCAACACCAAUUCAAGUCAGCUGAGCUUUCACCUGAAACCAUAGGACGCAGAAGGGAGUGACUGGUUUUUAAAGUACUGAGGGAAAAGAACUGUCAACUGUAGAUUCAAUAUGUGGCAAAAUUCCUCCAAGGAGUGAAAGGAAUAAGUACUUAGCAAACAAAGGAAAACUAAGAAAAUUUGUUGUAUCUUUAAAGAGUACCUAAAAGAAAUUCGCUAAAAGGAAAGGAAAUCAACAACAACAAAAGGACUUGGAACUUUAGAAAGAAAAGGAAAACAUUAAAGUAGAUUUUAGAAAUUAGGAAAGAUAUAAUAAAUAUCCUUCAAUUCAUGAGUUGCCAAAUUCAUAUUUGAUGGUUAAAGCAAAAGUUAUAUGACCAUCUGAUACAGUUCUCUUUUUAUGUAGUGAAAACACUUAAGCUCACUAUACAUAAAAAGUGGGAAGAAUAAAAAGACCUGAAUGACAGUAAGGUAAGAUGAAAGUAGAAGGAAGGAAAAAGAUGUAUUAAUGCAGACAUUAAUUAAAGUAGGAGUGGCUAUAUUAAUAUAAAGUAGACUUCAGAUGAAAGAAAAUUGCAAGUCAAAGAGCAACAUUAAAUAAUGUAAAAGGAUCAAUCCAUGAGGAAGAUGUUGUGAUCCUAAAUGUGUAUGCUGCAGACAACAGAGCCUUAAAAUAUAUGAAGCAAAAACAGAGUUGAUAGGAGAGAGAAACAAUUCCACAAUUAUAGGUGGGAAGUUUAACAUCUGACUCUCAGCAGCUAAUAGAGCUACUAGACAAUCAGCAAGAAUACAGAAGACUGAGCAAGGCCAUCAACCCACAGGAUGUAACUGACAUAUAGAGAACACUCCCACCAACAGCAGCAGAGUACACAUUUUCCAAGGGCCGUGGAACAUUCACCAACCCAUAUUCUGGGUGAUUAAGCGAGCCUCAAGCAGUUUAAAAUAAUUGAAACCAUACAGAGUGAGCUCUUUAACCGUAAUGAAAUCAAAUUAGAAAUCAAUAAAAUAAAAACAACAGAAAAUAUCCAAAUACUUGAAAAUUAAAAGACUUCUAAAUAUUUCAUAUAUCAAAGAGGAAGUCUCAAAGGAAAUUUUAAAAAUACAUAGAAUGGGAAGAAAAUGAAAAUAUCUCAAAAUAUGUAGGGGGAAAAAACUAGAGCUGUGAGGAAAUUUUUAGCACUAAAAACAGAAAAUGUCUCAAAUCAAUAACCUAAGUAAUUCAAGUAACUAGAAGAAAAAAGAGCAAAGGAAGGAAAUCAUAAAGAUAAAAGCAGAAAUUAAUGAUUUUUUAAAAAAAAUGAAAAGGUAACCAGCAGCUUAACUCCAUAAUGCAUUUUAAAACUUUUUUUCCAUUUUAGUCUCAAGAUGUAAUCUUGAAGCAAACUGCAACAGCCUUUUCCCUUAACCUUAAAAUAGACUGCAUGUUCCUUCCUUUCCCACUGUGUACUCCCUUCACAUUCAUCUAAUUAUGCCAGUAUCUAAGUAUGUGCUUACUUAGGAGUUCAAGGGCUAACCUUGAGACAGAUAGACCGAGCCUAGAGACCGAGCAGAAUUCCAGAGAUUACCUCAAGGCAGCUAGUCACCAACCCAGCCAUUGUUCAGAUGAUGUCAGCCCACACUCCAGGUAGACAGAGAUCCAAGAUAGCCAGUGAAAAAGGACACACACACCUUGCACUCAACACAACUGCAUGUGUCCCAUACGAAGUUUCUCUUUAUAAACCCUAGCCUUCUCCCUACAAGUUCAAUGUGAUUCCUUUGGAUAUGAAUCCAGCCACUUCCCUACUGCUAGUUUUUGUUAAUGAAGUCACUUUCCUUUUACCAGACCUCACUCAUUCUUAAGACUUCGCAAGCAGCAAACAGCUGGACCUGCAUUCAUUUACAAAAAUAGAAAAAAAUGAAUGAGGCAAAACACUGUCUGUUUGAAAGAAAAUCAGUAAAAUGCAUAAACCUCUAGUAACACUGGCCAAAAAAAAAGACACAUAAAAAUUAGAAAUGAAAAAAAGGAAAUCACUAUGAAUCCUUUGGCCAUUAGAAGAAAAAUAAAGGAUAUGAUGUAUAACUUUAAACUCACACAGUCAACAACUGAAAAGAAAAGAAAAAAGUCCUUGAAAACCUAAAACUACCAAACCUCAAUCAAGAUAAAACAGACAAUCUGGGCAGUUCUGUAAUCUUCAAAGAAAUUGAAUUUGUAAAUAAAAGUUUCCACAAAAAGAGAUCUCCAAGUCUGGAUAGUUGUAUUGAAGAUUUCUACCAUAAAUUUAAAGAAGAAUUAACACCAAUUUUACACAUUCUCCUACAGAAAUAGAAGAAGCAAAACACUUCCCUACUAAUUUUAUGAGGUCAGUAUUACCCUUAUAACAAGCCUACAAAAGACAAUACAAUGAUUUAUAUCACUCAUCAAUUUAGAAGCAGAUAUUCUCAACAAAAUAUUAACAAAUUGAAUCCAGCAAUGUAUACAAAGAAUUCUACACCAUAACCAGGUGGGGUUUAUUCCAGGUAUGUAAGGCUGGUUCAACAUUUGAAAUCAAUCAAUGUAAUCCAUCAUAAGUUAAAUUUAAAACUUUGCGUGAUCUUAACAAUUGACACACAAAAAAAGCAUUUACCAAGAUCUGUGAUAAAAAUAAAAAAGAAGGGAACUUUCUUGGCUUAAUAAAGAGCAUCUACAAAAAACCUUCAGCUAAUAUACUUAGCAUUAAAGGAAUGCUUGCUUUUCCUUUAAGAUUGGGAACAAAGCAAUAAUAUCCACUGUUAUGACUCUAUUCAUCAUACUACUGGAGGAAGUUUUAGCCACUGCAAUAAAACAAGGAAAAUAAAUAACAUAUACAGAUCAAAAAGGAAGAAAUAAAACCGGACCUGCUUGUAGGUAGCAUGAUUGUCUACAUAGAUAUAGAUCUAUGUAGACCAAAAAAAAAAAAAAAUAGAAUCCUAGAACUAAUAAGCAUGAGGGCUUUCUUAAACUCAGAUCAAUGCAUAAAAAUCAACUUUAUUUCUGUAUACCGACAAUGAAUAUGUAGAAACUAAAAUUAAACAUAACAGUUUACAAUUGUUCCAAAGAAAAUGAAAUAGGGAUAAGUCUAACAAAUUGUAUACAGAAUCUGUAUGCUGAAAACUUUGAAAUGCCGAUGAAAUGAAUUUUUUAAAGUCCUAAGUAAAUAGGGAAACAUACUGUAUUUAUGAGUUGGAUGACUCAACAUAGAAAAGUUGUCCAUUCUUCCCAAAUUGAUCUACAGAUAUAAUCCAAUUCCUACAAAAAUCCCAGCAAGGGAUUUUGUAGACAUAGAACACCUUAUCCCAAAAUGUAUCUGGAAAGCACCAGGCCCUAGAAUAGCUAAAAAAAAAAAAAAAAAAAAAAAAAAAAAAAAAAAAUCUGUACUAAGAACAGAAUGGGAGGAAUUAUUCUACGUGGUAUUAGAUUUGCUAUGUAAUCAUAGCAAUCAAGACACUGUGGCAUUGAAAAUGCAAUAGACAUAUUGAUAAAUGGAACAAAACAGAGAACCCAGAAAUAGACCUACACAAAUAUGCCCAACUGAGUUUUUUAUAAAGAUACAAAAGCAAUUCAAUGGAAGAAGGAAAAUCUUUUCAACAAACAGUGCUGGAGGAAUUUAACAUCGAUAGGCACAAUAAUGAACACAACCUAAGUCUCACAGCUCAUAAAAAAUUAAUCAAAAUAGAUACAAACAUAAAUGUGAGACAUAAACUUUAAAACUUUUAGAAAAAAAUAGAAAGAAUCUUCAGGAUCUAAGAUUUCUUAAACUUUACACCAAAAGCAUGAUCCAUAAAAGGAAAAACUAAUAAAUUUAACGUUAUCAAAAUUAAAAAAUUUUACUUAGUGAAAGAUCCCAUUAAAAGAAUGAAAAGACAAGCUAUAGACUGGGGAAAAUGUUUGCAAAUGCCACUACCAAUGAAGAAUUAGUAUCUAGAAUUAAGAAAAAAAAACUCUUAAAAUUUAAUAGUAAAAAAAUCCGGUAACAUGAGCAAAAGACAUGCACAGAAAUUUCGCUGAAGAGGAGAUACAGCUGUGGAAAAUAAACACAUGAAAAGAUGUUCAGCACCACUAGCUAUUAGGGAAGUGCAAAUUAAAAUCAUAAUGAGAUAUCACUACACAUCAGUCAAAAUGGCUAAAAUUUUAAAGAUAGUGACACCACCAAAUGCAGGCAUGAAUAUGAAGAAUACAGAUCAUUUAUAUAUCACUGGUGGAACUAUGAAAUGGUACAGCCAGGUUGGAAAACAGUUUGGCACUCUCUUAGAAAAUUAUGUAUGCAAUUACUGUACAACUUAGCAAUAUCACUCUUUAGUAUUUAUUCCAAAGACAGAAAAACCCAUAUCAAAAAAAAAUCUGUACACGAAUGUUCACAGCAGCUUUAUUUGUAAUAGACAAAGACUGGAAUCAGUUCAGGUAUCCUUCAACAGAUGGAAAAUUAAAAAUAUGAUUCAUCCUUUCCUUGGAAAACUAGUCGGCAACGGAAAAGAACAAAGUGUUGAUAGACACAACUUAGAUAAAUACCUAGGGAAUUAUGCUAAUUUUUUAAGAAAGCCAAUUUCGGCUGGGCAUGGUGGUUCAUGCCUGUAAUCUCAGCACUUUGGGAGGCUGAGGUAGGCAGAUCACGAGGUCAAGAGUUCAAGAACAGCCUGACCAAGAUGGUGAAACCCCAUCUCUACUAAAAACACAUAAUUAGCAGAGCAUGAUGGCGCACGCCUGUAGUCCCAGCUACUCGGGAGGCAGAGGCAGGAGAAUCACUUGAAUCCGGGAGGCAGAGGCUGCAGUGAGCCCAGAUUGUGCCCUUGCACUCCAGCCUGGGAGACAGAGCAAGAUUUGUCUCAAAAAAAAAGAGGAAGCCAAUUUCAAAAGAUUCCAUAUUGUUUCCUGUAUAUAAGAUUUUUGAAAGGAUGAAACAUUAAAUAUUGAGAAAUGAUUGGAUGGUUUCUAAGAAUUAUGGAUGAUGAGUGGAGUGAGCAAUGAGGGAGAGGAAAGGGGAAGAAAGGAAGGGAUGAUGAAUGUGCUUAUAAGAGUGCAACCCGGGGUGGGCGUGGUGGUUCACGCCUGUAAUCUCAGCACUUUGGGAGGCCAGGGCAGGCAGAUCACCUGAGGUCAGGAGUUCGAGACCAGCCCGGCCAACAUGGUGAAACUCCAUCUCUACUAAAAACACAAAAAUUAGCCAAGCGUGGUAGCACACACUUGCGAUCCUAACUACUCAGAAGGCUGAGGCAGAAGGAUUGCUUGAACCCAGGAAGCAGAGGUUGCAGUGAGCCUAGGUCAUGCCACUGUAUUCCAGCCUAAGCGAUAGAGUGAGACACCAUCUUAAAAAAAACAUAUAUAUAUGUAUAUAUGUAGAAGAGAGAGAGAGAGAGAGAACAACACAGGAUCCUUGUGAUGAUGAGUGGUGGAACUGUCCUAUUAUCUUUACUUCAGUGAAGUAAAUAUACAUGAGCAGGUAUAUCUAUACAUGAAUCUACACGUGUGAUAAAUUUUAUAGAACCAAAUACACAAAAAAUGAAUGCAA
rnacentral:lncRNA from 1 species